AGGAAAUCUCAGUGACUGUGAAAGCUCAAGCUAUUUGCACUGGGAGAAAAGCCAGCCGGGAAGUUUUGCUGGCAAUGGUUUGGUUUCUAGAACAGCAUCAAAACUUGUCUCCCAUGUUUUGUAAGUGGUUUAACCCACAAGAUAUCAUGCAUUUGAAACUUUUAAGAAAAAACUUAAUUCCUUCUGUGAAUGCAAAAGCAAAUAUGAGGGCACAAGCAUUUAAAUAUGAAGUAUUUCUUGAAAGCCACCUACCAGAGAACAAGUUUGGUGCAAUAAUUUAAGAAAAGAUAAAAAAGAAACAGGAAAAUGGGGACGACAGACAGCAUGAUGGAGCCACCGUGCAAGCCCUCAAUAGUCUGCCUCCAGGCUGUGUCAAAUAAAGUAAAAAGAACAAAA